ACCCCCGAGCUGCCCGUGGCCGCGAUCUUGCCGCCUUCUGCAGACCGCAGUUCGCAUACGUCCAGAUCAUCCUUGGCCAGCGACCUGUUGACUAGCAAGAUGAACUCCGAACCCCUGCUCCCGAGUAGCCGCUUGACCAGACUGCAGGAGAAACCCGGAGUACUUGGAGGAAAGCGGCUUGGCAGAGGAAGAUCAUGCAAAGUCUACACACACAGAGUAGAGAUGGGUUCAAUGGGUUUGAACCUCAACCCAUUCAGCCACUGUACCUCUAUCAGAACCAGUUUUCACAUCAAGCUUCUCUUGGUUGGUGCCCUCGAUUCUUCUGUUCCAGUCCUUGGAUUAUAUGUCUGUUCCGGUCAAUAACCCCAUUAGUCCGGUGGUGCAUUCUGGACUGAUGUACUUUUCACUAAAGGCGUUAAAAUAAGGUACAUCCCCAUUCCUGUAAGAUUCACAAGGCUCUCAAGUCUCACGCAUUGAUCGUGAGACACACGUGUCGCCUCUAACACAUGUAAAAACAUAUUGGCUUACAAUCAACUCAGUGUAAGAUUUUUUUUCUGAAACACCCACCAUCAAUCCCACGUUAAAUCUGUAGUAUUUAAAAUGUAUAUUUGUUUUGCUGAUAAAUAUGUCAAAGUGUGGAACAGUCUCUCCUAAAGGGGAAAUCAUCUUUUUCCUUUCAGUAUGUUGAUCAGCUGUAUAAGCAAUUCUUUACGAUGCGUUACGAAGUAUUUCAUGCUUGAACGCUGACGUCCACCUUUCUCAAAAUAAACAAAUACAAAAGUA